ACUUUCACUUCUGGCAUCAGAAGUUCCACCCAGCAAUGCACAUCACAUAUGCACGUGGUAGAUCUGAAUUGCUCGAUGCAACAUCUGGAGUGUACGGAAAGAAAGCUUAAUGGAUAACCUUGCUGAACCUCCUCGUAAUCUGCCGACUUUGAUCUGUUACUUGUCAGGUUGCAUUAGUUCAAGGUUGCACAUUUCAAACUUGAGGCGUACCUUUCCCCUCCUGUCAACAUCAGUUCAAUUGAAAAGGCUCAAGUUUUCCUUGAGGUCAGGUCAAAGUCGAUGGGCGAACUGACGAAGGGGGAGGGAGGUUCCGACGCCCAAGUUUCGCUCCCACCGGUUUCGGAUGCGUGGCGCUAAAGCGAAGCACGCAUGGUGGCAACUGUAGCGCCACUACCAAACGGCUCGAGGUAAUCUUCUUGGCCGGCUCCUGGUUGCCGCAAUCAGCCGUGGUUUGUGCUUGCAGUUGCAGUUGCUUGUUCCCACUUACCACUUCAUUGGUUAUUGCACUGGAUGUCUUUUUCUCGAACACGCGUGUCAAU